GGGGCGCGCGCAGGAGGGGGCGGGGAGGCGCCCAGCUCGGAUGGCGGGGUCCGCGCGCUCCAGGACCCGGUCCGACUGGAGGCCCGCCUCGCUCCCCGCCUGCCCUGGGGCUGAGGUCGGCCAGCCCGGGUUCUUUUUUUUUUUCCCACAAAGAUUUUAUUUAUUUAUUCAUGAGAAACAGAGAGAGAGAGACACAGGCAGAGGGAGGAGCAGGCUCCAUGCAGGGAGCGGGACGUGGGACUCGAUCCUGGGUCUCCAGGACCACGCCGUGGGCUGCAGGCAGGUGCAGCUAAACCGCUGAGCCACCCAGGCUGCCCCCAGCCCAGGUUCUCAUCCCGGCCCAGCCUCUUACUAGCAGUGCGUCCUUGAGGAGGGCGUCUAAACGACUCGUGCCUUAGUUUCCCCCUGGGUUAAUCGUAGCACCCUCGUUAGUACAAGUGCAGCUCAGGACAUGUGCACAGUGAGUGCUCAGUGAGUGCUGGCUAUUGUCACUUGGAGUGGCACCUUGAUGCAUUCGGUGACCUCAAGGGUGGCCUUGGACGGUCCCUGCAUUGAAUCUGGACUUCCUCAUCUGUAAGAGGUUUUCCUUGCCGUGUUACUUGCUUUUGGAGAACGGCAGCUGGGCUGCUUGGAGCAGCUCUCCCCAUCCAUCUACCAACGCGUUGCGGUACCUGUUCGGGGCCAGGCCUGUAACUGGCACCGUGGAGCCAUUGAAGCAUCUGGGAGAGGCGGUUGUCCAGGGGAGAGAGGACCGCGCUGCAGCUGUGCAGAGCUCCAGGAAAACUAAGUGGGGAGGGGGACUAGUCAGCUCUGCUUCCAGGAUCCUUCGGCGCCCACCUCCACCCGCUCCCGGAGCCCACCUCCUGUCUACGAGGCUUGCGCGUCCCCUGCUGGCCUUCCCUCUGGCACUGCACCUGCGGCUCUGGAGACUCCGGCCACUGGGGCUGGCGACCAAAUGUCCAUAAAAGAGAGAGAGAGAGCGAGGCAGAGACACAGGCAGAGGGAGAAGCAGGCUCCAUGCAGGG